UACGUAGGGUGCGAGCGUUGUCCGGAAUUAUUGGGCGUAAAGAGCUCGUAGGCGGUGUGUCACGUCGGCCGUGAAAACCUGCAGCUUAACUGUGGGCGUGCGGGCGAUACGGGCAGACUGGAGUACUGCAGGGGAGACUGGAAUUCCUGGUGUAGCGGUGGAAUGCGCAGAUAUCAGGAGGAACACCGGUGGCGAAGGCGGGUCUCUGGGCAGUAGCUGACGCUGAGGAGCGAAAGCGUGGGGAGCGAACAGG
rnacentral:rRNA from 1 species